AACAAACGCUGGCGGCGUGUCUUAAGCAUGCAAGUUGAGCGGCAAGGAGGAGAGAUCCUCCCUAGAGCGGCGGACUGGUGAGUAACGCGUGGGUAAUCUAUCGUAGGCAUGGGGAUAGUCACUAGAAAUUAGUGGGUAAUACCGAAUACGUUCCAAUGAGGGAGUAUUCAUGGAAGAAAGGGUGCUACGGCACUGGCCUUAGGUGAGCUCGCGUCCCAUUAGCUAGUUGGUGAGGUAAAGGCUCACCAAGGCGACGAUCUGUAGCGGGUCUGAGAGGAUGAUCCGCCACACUGGAACUGAGACACGGUCCAGACUCCUACGGGAGGCAGCAGUGGGGAAUUUUGGACAAUGGGGGCAACCCUGAUCCAGCAAUGCCGCGUGAGUGAUGAAGGCCUUAGGGUUGUAAAGCUCUUUUACCAGGGAUGAUAAUGACAGUACCUGGAGAAUAAGCUCCGGCUAACUCCGUGCCAGCAGCCGCGGUAAUCU
rnacentral:rRNA from 1 species